rnacentral:rRNA from 1 species
UGGGCGUAAGGGCUCGCAGGCGGUUCCUUAAGUCUGAUGUGAAAGCCCCCGGCUCAACCGGGGAGGGUCAUUGGAAACUGGGGAACUUGAGUGCAGAAGAGGAGAGUGGAAUUCCACGUGUAGCGGUGAAAUGCGUAGAGAUGUGGAGGAACACCAGUGGCGAAGGCGACUCUCUGGUCUGUAACUGACGCUGAGGAGCGAAAGCGUGGGGAGCGAACAGGAUUAGAUACCC